rnacentral:rRNA from 1 species
CCUACGGGAGGCAGCAGUGGGGAAUAUUGGGCAAUGGGCGCAAGCCUGAACCAGCCACGCCGCGUGAAGGAAGAAGGCUUUCGGGUUGUAAACUUCUUUUCUCAGGGACGAAGAAAGUGCCGGUACCUGAGGAAUAAGCCACGGCUAACUACGUGACAGCCGCAGCGGUAAUACGUAGGUGGCAAGCGUUAUCCGGAUGUACUGGGUGUAAAGGGUGUGUAGGCGGGAAAGCAAGUCAGAUGUGAAAACCAUGGGCUCAACCUGUGGCCUGCAUUUGAAACUGUUUUUCUUGAGUACGGGGGAGGCAGGCGGAAUGCGUGGUGUAGCGGUGAAAUGCGUAGAUAUUAGGAGGAACACCAGUUGCGAAGGCGGUCUGCUGGACAGCAACUGACGCUGAGGCGCGAAAGCGUGGGGAGCAAACAGGAUUAGAUACCCGUGUAGUC